UGGCUCCCGAGUCCCGGCACUGGCUUUAGGCCCCAACAAGAACGGCGAAAGAAGGGAUCCGCAGCAACAACGUUGCGCCGCCGCUCCGCCCGUGCGCUCCCCACCCCCGAUCCGCCCCGAGCCAACCAGGCCUCCGAACGCCGCCGUCGAGCUCCUCUGCCGGACACCAUGGCCAUGGACUAAAGCUCCGCCGGACCUUCCCUCGCGAGUGCCGGCCCUCCUCCCGACUAAAUCGGCGACGGCGACGACCGGUGAUGAACACAUGCCUACCCCCUUCUUAAUUCUCCCGGGCAGUCUGUGAUGCAGAUGUCGCCGCUGCCAUUCUUCCGCACAGCCGAGGACGCGAAAGUCGUUGUUGUCUGCAACUCAGCCGCCUCCAAUCCUGUUGCCCUGCGAAGUUGAGGAGGGUUUGUUGUUCGGACAUCGCAUCCUCCUGCUUGUCCUCUACCACAGGGUCGUUGCCAUCUUCAGUCACCACGGCCACCUCUGCCUUGUCCUCUACCACGGGUUCAGUAGGGGCAUACCACCGCAUAUCCUCUUCACAUGAUAGGGAGAGCAGGGGAAAAGUCUUGUGGAUACAUAUAUGAAUGCCCGCCAGAAGAAGAGAAAGGUGUUUGGCUGCAAAUCAGUUUUAUGUCAAACUGCACAUAAAUAUGAUCAAGUACUUGUUGUCUUUUUACUGGCAGGGAGAGCAGGAGAAGGUGUUGUGGAUACAUAUAUGAAUGCCCGCCAGAAGAAGAGAAAGGUGUUUGGCUGCAAGUAAUUGUGUUUGUAGGCUGUCCAUAUCACCGGCACUAAGGGGAAAUGUUCGACUGCCACGUUCCUGUCUAAUAUCAUGAGGGAGCAAGCAUAAACUGUGGGCUGCUAUUCCAGGUAUUCCACCAUAUCACCAAGCUCCGUGUAUCAUUUAAUCCAUUUGGUAGUAACUAUUAGACGACAUGAUCAUGGAAAUUGUAUGGUGCUGAUGUUUAUGCAGUCCACACCUUUUAACAAUCCGAGAGCGCAUCACCUGUUUCAGCUGCAUCUUUGAGGGAUCUUUUUGAUCUGGCAAAAGGAAGCUAUUGAUGAAUCAAUCGAAUAUUUUCAAAGAUAUUUUUAGGUUGCAAGGUUGGUAUUUUGCUUUAAUAAAAUGCUGAUGAUGCGUACUCAGAUAUUUUUUUGUAUGUCCCCGAAUGGGAGCCUAUACAAUACCAAUAAACGAUAAGCAUAACAAGAAAAAUAGAAAGGUACUAUCGAAUGGGAGCCUAAUUUCUUGUUUCAGUAUUGUCUGCAGCUUUGUUUCAGGAAGAUUCAAUUCUGUAAUUUUUUAUGUCGCAUUUGAAGGUGUUGGCA